UGUAGGUGUAAGUAUAAGUGUAGGUGUAGGAGUAGGUGUAGGUGUAAGUAUAAGUGUAGGAGUAGGUGUAGGUGUAAGUGUAGGUGUAGGUGUAAGUGUAGGUGUAAGUGUAGGUGUAAGUAUAAGUGUAGGUGUAGGAGUAGGUGUAGGUGUAGGUGUAAGUGUAGGUGUAGGUGUAAGUGUAGGUGUGAGUGUAGGUGUAAUUGUAAGUGUAGCUGUAGGUGUAAGUGUAAGUGUAGGUGUAAGUGUAGGUGUAGGUGUAAGUGUAGGUGUAAGUGUAGGUGUAGGUGUGAGUGUAGGUGUAAGUGUAGGUGUAAGUGUAGGUGUAAGUAUAAGUGUAGGUGUAGGUGUAAGUGUAGGUGUAGGAGUAGGUGUAGGUGUAAGUGUAGGUGUAGGAGUAGGUGUAGGUGUGAGUGUAGGUGUAAUUGUAAGUGUAGCUGUAGGUGUAAGUGUAAGUGUAGGUGUAGGUGUAGGUGUAGGAGUAGGUGUAGGUGUGAGUGUAGGUGUAAUUGUAAGUGUAGCUGUAGGUGUAAGUGUAGGUGUAAGUAUAAGUGUAGGUGUAGGUGUAGGUGUAAGUGUAGGAGUAGGUGUAGGUGUGAGUGUAGGUGUAAUUGUAAGUGUAGCUGUAGGUGUAGGUGUAGGUGUAAGUAUAAGUGUAGGUGUAGGUGUAGGAGUAGGUGUAAUUGUAAGUGUAGCUGUAGGUGUAGAUGUAAAUGUAGGAGUAUUUGUAG
ensembl:lncRNA